CAUAAAAUACCCAUAAACAUUAACAACCACAUGAGUUCCAAUCACUUAUAAAACAACUUCAAUAAAAUAAAAGUCAUUUUAUUGUAUACCCUCCAAGGAAACAGAUGUGAUUUUCACCUAAAACUAGAUAGCGCGGAUAAUCUGAGCAGGAGAUGGCAUUGAGGAAUAAGCUGAUUUUAUUGGUACCGUACAAAUGAGCAAUGCUUGGCGUGAGAGGCGAAGUCGUAGGUGGAGGCAAGAUUGAAAUUGUAUGAAUGUGAAGGGACUCCUAAAGGAGGAAGCUCUAUUGCGAUUAAUGUGAGAUGAGAGUGGACCAAAAACGAGUCCGAUGCUGCCAAAGGAAAGGAAUUGCGAACAAAAUCAACAAAAAGGAGCUGGGUGGUGUUGAGUUGAUCGAAACUGAAGGGAUGAACCAAAAAAAAUGUUGUAGCGCAGUGGUGCUGGUGUAUCACAGAAAAUGAGUAGGAACUGUGGGGCGAGUUCCUUGUAUAUAGAGAUUAAUGGAGUUGGAUAUGAUGUGAAGGAGGUGAGGUACAGUUUAGAUUUGGGUGUAGAAAACUAAAAUAGAAUGGGAUGUAUGCAAGUAUUGAAUUGAUAAGAAGUGGGUCCAGAACUGAUAAUGGAUUUAGGUGUAAAUGAUGGUGAAGAAGAGAGAAGGUCAAUGGAUCUCAUUGAAAUGGCAAAGGAAGGGCGUUUUGAUUUUAAGAAAACAGAGUCGAG
rnacentral:misc_RNA from 1 species